rnacentral:pre_miRNA from 7 species
GCCUAGUCCCUGAGACCCUAACUUGUGAGGUAUUUUAGUAACAUCACAAGUCAGGUUCUUGGGACCUAGG